AAGGUGAACAUCAACAACAGCAGAGACAAUCUAGAAAAACUGCCAGGAUGAUCAGAAGGAGAGGUGGCAGGGCUUCUCAGGAGUUAAGCUUGGGAACACUGACUGCAAGCUUUUGAGGGAAAGCCUGGCAGUACAGAAAGGAGGAUGAAAAAUAGAAAAAAUGGAUUUGAGAUGUAGCUCUACCUCUGGGGACAGAUCCCACAACUCCUCACAUAAAAGAGAUGCCAGAAGGAGAGA
rnacentral:lncRNA from 1 species